GGGGGUUUAGCUCAGGGGUAGAGCGCUCGCUUUGCAUGCGAGAAGUCGGGGGUUCGAAUCCCCCAUCCUCCA
rfam:Anisakis simplex genome assembly, scaffold: ASIM_contig0002552